rnacentral:rRNA from 1 species
UACGUAGGGUGCGAGCGUUAAUCGGAUUUACUGGGCGUAAAGCGUGCGCAGGCGGCCCGUUAAGACAGGUGUGAAAUCCCUGGGCUCAACCUAGGUAUUGCGCUUGUGACUGGCGGGCUCGAGUACGGUAGAGGGGGGUGGAAUUCCUGGUGUAGCAGUGAAAUGCGUAGAGAUCAGGAGGAACACCGAUGGCGAAGGCAGCCCCCUGGGCCUGUACUGACGCUCAUGCACGAAAGCGUGGGGAGCAAACAGG